ACUUUUUUUAUUAAUUUUGUAUCUCUCCCUCUCCGAUCGCUCUUCGUCCCUCUCCGUCCCUCUCUGUCACUCUCCGUCCCUCAUCUAACAAUGGAAGCAACAGUAUGAGCCCUGAUCUUCCAUGGAUCGACGAUGGGUGACGUCCGGUGGAUGGGUCGACGCCAGUGAAGCUGGAGGUGGAUUCCGCCGGGGCCCGCCAGAUCAUCAACUCGUCUGGAGAUUUUGGUGAUUCUGUAGCUUUUUUUUAUUAUUGUGGUUCAGCUGUGCCAUUUUUUCGGUGGAUCAGUCUUGAUCGGUGCUGAUCGGUAGUUCCGUUGAUCUGGCCGUGGGUGGAUCGAUGUCGUGUGUGCGGUGGUUGAACAACGCUGAUCCGGUGGUUGAGUGGUGCGGUAUUGAAGUGCUAGUCUGGUGCGCAUCACUUAUUAAACCCUAAAGAGGGAAUGGAACAGUGAAGCUGAAGCUGAUGAAGCAAUUCACUGAAUUGCAACACCGAUCCACUGUCAGAAUUUUUCUUAACCUUGUAGGUGGUGCCACUUCAUUAUUUGGUGUAAACCCCCAUCCAAGAAGAAAUCCAGGUUCGAAAGAUUGUUGUCCAAGUCAUUCAACCAACAUGUAGGAAGAACUCCACAUGAAUAAGCAAUUAGCCAAAUCAAUGACAGAAAUGGACUGCAUGGAUGUAUGAGAAAGAAACCGUACAAUAAAUAUGAAAUGGGCUCUAAGAUUCUUAUACAUGAUAAUAAGAAUUGGCAUAAUGGUGACGAUAAAUAUGAAUCAGGAGUCUACCAGACAAAUAAUGUAAAAGGGAUUUAAAAAUUACUGCAUUCAAAAGCUGCUCCAUUUAAUAGCAGGACCCAUUACAAGAUGGUCAAUGCCAAAGCUUCA